GCGAUGAACCUGACCGCCGCGCUAUGUAAACAACGCUGUUUAUGUAUCGAGGAAAGUCCGGGCUCCGCAGGGUAUGAUGCCGGGUAACGCCCGGGCGGGAAGCCGGUGGCGGGGGAGCGAUCCCCCGGCGCCCGGUUUGCCGACAGAAAGCGCAACAGAAAGUAUACCGCCGAAAGGACGCCGUUCCGGCGUCCCCGGGGGACUUCAGGUCUUCCGGAAAGGCGUAAAGAGACGGGCCCGAAAGGGCCGGGUUUUUUACGCCCGGUAAGGGUGAAACGGCGGGGCAAGAGCCCGCCUCGGCCGCGGUAACGCGGCCGGAACGGCAAGCCUCAUCAGGAGCAAAGUCAAGCGGCGUGCGAAGGGGAAACCCGUUCGCGGGUAAAGGGCGGGGCCUUAAGGUCCCGGUUCUUCACCACGGAACUGCCCGUUCCGGUUAAACGCGGGUAGACUGCUGUUGACGCCGCCGGUGACGGCGGCGCGAGACAGAUGGCGGUUUUUCCCUGUUCUCCAGGAAACAGCCGUUUUCGGGAAGCGGGGAACUACAGAACCCGGCUUACGGUUCAUCGCUUUU
rnacentral:RNase_P_RNA from 1 species